rnacentral:rRNA from 1 species
AGAGUUUGAUCAUGGCUCAGAACGAACGCUGGCGGCAUGCCUAACACAUGCAAGUCGAACGAGAUCCUUCGGGGGUCUAGUGGCGGACGGGUGAGUAACGCGUGGGGACCUGCCCAGGGGUACGGAAUAACUUGGGAAACUAAAGCUAAUACCGCAUACGCCCGAGAGGGGAAAGAUUUAUCGCUAUAAGAUUAGCCCGCGUGAGAUUAGGUAGUUGGUGGGGUAAUGGCCUACCAAGCCUACGAUCUCUAGCUGGUCUGAGAGGAUGAUCAGCCACACUGGAACUGAGACACGGUCCAGACUCCUACGGGAGGCAGCAGUGGGGAAUAUUGGGCAAUGGACGAAAGUCUGACCCAGCCAUGCCGCGUGAAUGAUGAAGGCCUUAGGGUUGUAAAGUUCUUUCGCCGAUGAAGAUAAUGACGGUAGUCGGAGAAGAAGCCCCGGCUAACUUCGUG